rnacentral:rRNA from 1 species
UACGGAGGGUGCGAGCGUUGUCCGGAAUCAUUGGGCGUAAAGGGCGCGUAGGUGGCCCGGUCAGCGUGCGGUGAAAGCUCGGGGCUCAACCCCGGAGUCGGCCGUGCGAACUGCUGGGCUCGAGCACUGUAGAGGCAGGCGGAAUUCCGGGUGUAGCGGUGGAAUGCGUAGAGAUCCGGAAGAACACCGGUGGCGAAGGCGGC